ensembl:lncRNA
CCCCACUCCAGUACUCUUGCCUGGAAAAUCCCAUGGGUGGAGGAGCCUGGUAGGCUGCAGUCCAUGGGGUCGCUAAGAGUUGGACACGACUGAACGACUUCACUUUCACUUUUUCUCUUUCAUGCAUUGGAGAAGGAACUGGCAACCCACUCCAGUGUUCUUGCCUGGAGAAUCCCAGGGGCAGGAGAGCCUGGUGGGCUGAUGUCUAUGGGGUCACACAGAAUCGGACACAACUGAAGUGACUUAGCAGUAGCAGCAGACACAGCUGACUCCAAGUUACUAGAAAAUAACUUGGGCAACACCUUGUUUAGGCUCCAUGCCACUUGGAGUACAUGCAAGUGUUAAAAUGAGCUUGAUUGGUGAAAGCAGGUGGAAUGGAUUUGACUAAUUACAAUUUCAAGUUCUCAUCUUGUCACUAGGAUGUGUCUGACCCUUUUGUGACCCAAUAGACUAUAGCCUGCCAGGCUCCACUGUCCAUGGGAUUUCCCAUGCAAGCAUACUCCUUCCACCUCCAGGGGAUUUUCCUGACCCAGGGAUCGAACCUGCAUCUCCUGCAUUGGCCUUUUCAGAUACAAUGAUGCAACACCUGUUUAUGAUCCUCACCUGUUGAUGAACCACUGAUGCAAUGAAAUAAAGGCUCCAUCCUCACUGGGCACUUCCUCCAUCUUGAAGCCAUCCAGAAAUUUUUCUUAAGAUGAAGAACCAAGGGCCGGGCAGGGGCUAUCUGGCACAGAAAACUGGAAGAACUGUUGAGAGUGGAAAAGCAUUUUGACAAUAGGACCUUGUUUUUGCUGCUUCAAGAGUACACUAUGAUGAAUAUAAUAUUUAAAAAUUUUCUAUGAUAAUUAUUUUAAUGGAUGAAAGAGUAAUCAUAUAGACUAGGAGACAAGUUGCUUAAUUGAUACUAAGAAUUUGAGAAUUAAGUCAGUGAUCUGGUACAUAUUUUCACCUUAACUUCUAAUGGCAAAACAUUAAUUCUUCUUAGCAAUAAACAUUUGGGAUCAAAUAUAAAUAGGUGAAUGGUUGAGAAUCAGAAAAAAAUUCAACUAGUUAUUUUCAAGAUCAUUUUUAUUAUAUAUGUCUGUCCUUUUUUAUUUUUAUUAUAUGUUUUUUCCUUUACAAACUUGAAAGGGUCCUACAAAGCAUUUGAUUAAGCCCGAUUUCACUCUAUUUUACUAAGUAAUCUGGACUUAGGAAGGUUAAAUGAAUGAUUCCAAUACAGGCAUCUGGAACCUCAGAGUAUUUUUCAGCAAGCUCACCUUAUUUAUUCUCUUAUUACUUAAAAAAAAAAAAAAAGCAACAUGAUUAAGUGUAUUUUGCUUCCAUUUCUCAAAUGAACUGUCUCCAUUUAACAAUAAGUAAUAUAAACUAGUAAUUUGAAAAAUCAUCCGGAUAUUGUUCAAGGAAACAAGAGAAGAAUUGUUAAUUGGCCCUCUUCCAAUUUUCAGCUCGGCUAACAAUUUUCUUGAUUUUUGGAAAAAUAUUUUGAAUGAUUUAAAUGUGUAUUGUUCCUUAGUUUAUUAACUAUUGUUUCUGCAAUCUCUCAUUUUUCUGAAGCCACCAAGGAUCAGACUUAUUGGCCACGUGCACAGUUAGAAAGUGAUUGCAUUUGUUUACAGCACAUGUGGGCCAUACGAUUCCACAGAAUUGUUUGUGAAAAAUCUAAAAAAAUAUUUCAAUUGCAAAAACUCAGAGUCUAUCUA